CGGGCGGGGUCAGCGGUGCCAGGGUGGAGUUUCUCUGAUGAGCAGGAUCAUGCUGGCUCUUGACUCCCUUUUAAAGACUGUUAUCUCUAUGCCAUGAUUUUCUAGUUCCUCUCUAGCUCGGGGUUUAAAAACAUUUACUUUCGGCGACUCCUGCCCCAGGACAUAAAGAGUAGCUUCAUGAGAAUUGCUGUGCAAACUCUAAAGAACUCUAAAGUGAGGAUAUUUAAGAAUUUUGCAUUUGAAUUAGAGCCCUGCCAGAAUCUAAGUGCUAAUUUCUGACUUAACUGCUUGCCCUGUGGAAAACCUGAGGCUGAAUUCUUUAGAUAAAUAUUCACUGAAGACAGGAAGAAAAUAAGAUGUAGUCCCUGUCCUUGAAGGUGGUUAAGGGAAUGAGCGGUAGAAAAGCUAAGAUCCCGCCGGGCGCGGUGGCUCACAGCUGUAAUCCCAGCACUUUGGGAGGCCGAGGCGGGAUCAUGAGGCCAGCAUAUCAAGACCAUCCUGGCUAACACGGUGAAACCCUGUCUCUACUAAAAGUACAAAAAAUUAUCCGGGUGUGGUAGCGCACGCCUGUAAUCCCAGCUACUCGGGAGGCUGAGGUCGGAGAAUCGCUUGAACCCGGGAGGCCAAGGUUGCAGUGAGCCGAGGUCUCGCCGCUGCACUCCAGCCUGGGCGACAGAGCGAGACUCCGUCAAAAGAAAGAAAGGAAGGAAGGAAGGGAAAGAAGGAAGGAAGGGAAAGAAAGAAGGAAGGAGAAUAAUAUAAAAGAGAAAGGAAGGAAGAGAAAAGAAAGAAGAAGGAAAGAAAAGAGAGAGAUCCUUUUCCCUUCCCUGCCUUGGGAGGCUUUGGUGUACUUGAGAAAAGGUUUCCUAGAAGUAAUCCCUAAGCGCACCUUUAGCAGAUUAGUUGGAUUUAGCCAGGAUAGAAGAAGGACACCAUUCCAGACAAAAGAAAUAAUGAGGAGCAAAGGCAGCACAGAAGAGAGAAGCUUGGCGUGAGAGGGCCACAAUUUCUGAGACAGGGAAAGGUGAGACCUUGCCUUUAUUCAAGGGACCCAUUGAAGAUUUAAAGCUAUUGAGUGCUAUAAUGGAGAUUUGCAUUCUGUUCUCUUUUUCUUUUCUUUUUUUUAAAUUUUUUUUCUUCAUAACAUUCUUGGAGUGUAAAAGCUAGAGUGGACAUCCCUGGGUGGGCUUGAACCACCAACCUUUCGGUUAACAGCCUAAUGCACAAUUGCACCACAGAGACACCUGCAUUUUGUAUAGUGAGGCAAAGAAGACUUUUUAUUUUUUUAAGAGACGUUGUUUAGACUGUUGCAGUAAUACAGGCCCAAGGAAAUGAAGACCUGAACUGAGGCAGUGUAGCAGAUAUGGUAUGGAAUUGUUACUGGAAAGGGGUCCCCAUCCGGACCCCAGAAGAGGAUUCUUGGAUCUCGUUCAAGAAAGAAUUCAAGGGCCAGGCAUGGUGGCUCAUGCCUGUAAUCCCAGCACUUUUGGAGGCUGAAGUGGGUGGAUCACCUGAGGUCAGGAGUUUGAGACCAGCCUGGCCAACAUGGCAAAACCCCAUCUCUACUAAAUGUACAAAAAUUUCAAAGGAAGCUGUGAAUUGGAGAAGAAAAAAAAAAGAAAUAGCUGGGCGUGGUGAGGUGCACCUCUAGUCCCAGCUACUCAGGAGGCUGAGGUGGGAGAAUCGCUUGAACCCAGGAGGCAGAGGUUGCAAGUGAGAUUGCGAUGAGCGAAGAUCAUGGCACUGCACUCCAGCCUGGGUGACAGAGCAAGACUCUGUCUCAAAAAAAUAAAAAACAAGGUUAGUGGUGUUGGCUGAGGUCUGGAAGGGUUAGGCUUGUGAGAGGAUCAACAUGCCUUUGGCUAGAGAUCUACUCCAUCCUUCCUUGGAAGAGAAAAAGAAAAAACACAAAAAGAAACGCAUUAUGCAAAUGUAAAGUGUCCAGGUUGCUACAAGAUCACCACGGUUUUCAGCCAUGCUCAGACAGUGGUUCUUUGUGUGGGUUGUUCAACAGUGUUAUGUCAGCCUGCAGGACGAAAGGCCAGACUCACAGAAGGGUGUUCAUUUAGAAGAAAGCAACACUAAUGAUCCAAACAGCUUCAUGAAUUUGUGUUAUCUCACAGAAAACUUUACCAUAAGUUCCAUAAUCCUAAUUAAUCUACCAAGAUAAUGUAAUUACAUUUGGUUUUGUAAGGUGUACAACAGUGAUCUCCUAUUUUGGUGUCAGUUUUUCAAUAAAGUUUUGAUUAUAGG